GACGAACGCUGGCGGCGUGCUUAACACAUGCAAGUCGAACGAUGAAGCCUAGCUUGCUAGGUGGAUUAGUGGCGAACGGGUGAGUAAUACGUGAGUAACCUACCUUUAACUCUGGGAUAAGCCUGGGAAACUGGGUCUAAUACCGGAUACGACCAAUCUCCGCAUGGGGUGUUGGUGGAAAGCGUUAUGUAGUGGUUAUAGAUGGGCUCACGGCCUAUCAGCUUGUUGGUGAGGUAACGGCUCACCAAGGCGACGACGGGUAGCCGGCCUGAGAGGGUGACCGGCCACACUGGGACUGAGACACGGCCCAGACUCCUAUGGGAGGCAGCAGUGGGGAAUAUUGCACAAUGGGCGCAAGCCUGAUGCAGCGACGCCGCGUGAGGGAUGACGGCCUUCGGGUUGUAAACCUCUGUUAGCAGGGAAGAAGAGAAAUUGACGGUACCUGCAGAGAAAGCGCCGGCUAACUACGUGCCAGCAGCCGCGGUAAUACGUAGGGCGCGAGCGUUGUCCGGAAUUAUUGGGCGUAAAGAGCUUGUAGGCGGUUUGUCGCGUCUGCUGUGAAAGGCCGGGGCUUAACCCCGUGUAUUGCAGUGGGUACGGGCAGACUAGAGUGCAGUAGGGGAGACUGGAAUUCCUGGUGUAGCGGUGGAAUGCGCAGAUAUCAGGAGGAACACCGAUGGCGAAGGCAGGUCUCUGGGCUGUAACUGACGCUGAGAAGCGAAAGCAUGGGGAGCGAACAGG
rnacentral:rRNA from 1 species